rnacentral:sRNA from 1 species
UGCAGUAUUCUAGUCAGGCAUUUCUAUUUUGAGGACGACAAAGCGUCGAAGGGCAUAUCUGUGAAGUUCCUUGUGCUGGCUUUGGUUGCCCAAACUGGGGCUGGUGCUGGGAGUUAAGAUUUUUGGGCUAUUGUUAAUGGCAUAACAUGUUUGUCCCAGAAAUCGUGGAGACUCAAUAUUGGUGACAUUGUCACUGUUUGAGAAGAACCUGCAAUGCGGUCACUGGCUGUGUGCAGUGUAGCCUGCCUUGAGUGGGGCAUUGGGAUUGAACGUCAACAUUUUUUGCUGGUUGGCCAACAACAAAAGGUGUUGUUCAUGAAAUUUGUUCCUGCAAAAAAGGAUAAGAAAUAGAAACGCGUGUCAAGGAAAGCUUCUAGACUGUUGCGCAAAGCGCUUGUCCGCAGGGGAUUAUAGUGUGAUUUAAGUGGCGAUUCGGUGCAAGGGCUCAAUUAAAUGGAAACUGCUAACUCGGCGACGAGAAGUUUGGGCUUUGGGAAAUCCAACCGAACCUAUAUCGCAAGGUUUAUCUUGUGGGCUGUCUCCACAAAUAAAA